rnacentral:rRNA from 1 species
CAUGCAUGUCUCAGUACAAACCAAAUUAAGGUGAAACCGCGAAAGGCUCAUUAAAUCAGUUAUGGUUCCUUAGAUCGUACACACAUUUACUUGGAUAACUGUGGUAAUUCUAGAGCUAAUACAUGCCUACAGAGCUCUGACCGGAGACGGAAAGAGUGCUUUUAUUAGAUCAAAGCCAAUCGGCUGCGUGUCGCUCUUCACGGGGUGGCACGCGGUCGCACACCACUUGGUGACUCUGAAUAACUUGCUGAUCGCACGGUCUCGCACCGGCGACGCAUCUUUCAAAUGUCUGCCUUAUCAACUGUCGAUGGUAGGUUCUGCGCCUACCAUGGUUGUAACGGGUAACGGGGAAUCAGGGUUCGAUUCCGGAGAGGGAGCCUGAGAAACGGCUACCACAUCCAAGGAAGGCAGCAGGCGCGCAAAUUACCCACUCCCGGCACGGGGAGGUAGUGACGAAAAAUAACGAUACGGGACUCAUCCGAGGCCCCGUGAUCGGAAUGAGUACACUCUAAACCCUUUAACGAGGAUCAAUUGGAGGGCAAGUCAGGUGCCAGCAGCCGCGGUAAUUCCUGCUCCAAUAGCGUAUAUUAAAGUUGUUGCGGUUAAAAAGCUCGUAGUCGAAUGUGUGUCCCGCACCGCCGGUUCAUCGCUUGCGGUGUCAACUGGCGUGUCUCGCGGGACGUCCUGCCGGUGGACGUGUGUCGCCGAGGCCGCUGUGCGUGCCUAGGUCCGGACCGUUCGGGCGUCGUGUUCCGCGUGUGAGUGCGGCCGAGGCCAGUGUGUACGUGAGGUGGUUCGUCCAUUGCAUUGCGCGCUGUGUUUCGGUGUCGUGCAUGCGUGGUCUAGCGCGGCGUCUGGGCACCGGGUGCCGAAGCCGUACACGCUCGGUCUGAUACAGUCCAACCAUAUACCCAUCGCGGUGCUCUUAACUGAGUGUCGAGGUGGGCCGGCACGUUUACUUUGAACAAAUUAGAGUGCUUAAAGCAGGCUAAAAUCUCGCCUGAAUAUUGUGUGCAUGGAAUAAUAGAAUAGGACCUCGGUUCUAUUUUGUUGGUUUUCGGAAUUCCGAGGUAAUGAUAAAUAGGAACGGAUGGGGGCAUUCGUAUUGCGACGUUAGAGGUGAAAUUCUUGGAUCGUCGCAAGACGGACUAAAGCGAAAGCAUUUGCCAAAAACGUUUUCAUUGAUCAAGAACGAAAGUUAGAGGUUCGAAGGCGAUCAGAUACCGCCCUAGUUCUAACCAUAAACGAUGCCAGCUAGCGAUCCGCCGACGUUCCUCCGAUGACUCGGCGGGAAGCUUCCGGGAAACCAAAGCUUUUGGGUUCCGGGGGAAGUAUGGUUGCAAAGCUGAAACUUAAAGGAAUUGACGGAAGGGCACCACCAGGAGUGGAGCCUGCGGCUUAAUUUGACUCAACACGGGGAAUCUCACCAGGUCCAGACACCGGAAGGAUUGACAGAUUGAGAGCUCUUUCUUGAUUCGGUGGGUGGUGGUGCAUGGUCGUUCUUAGUUGGUGGAGCGAUUUGUCUGGUUAAUUCCGAUAACGAACGAGACUCUAUCCUACUAAAUAGUCGCACAACGACAUCUCAAAGGCUCGCCGGUCGGUCUGUCGUGUGUGUUGGUGUUGCGCGUUCGUGCUUGCGUUUGCGGCGUUGGUUCUGCCUGCGUCGUGGCGUGAGUGCGUCGUGUGCAUCGUGCACACGUCUGGGCUGAUUGUGCGCAGUUUUUACUGUCGGCGUACAAAUAAUUCUUCUUAGAGGAACAAGCGGCGGCUAGCCGCACGAGAUUGAGCAAUAACAGGUCUGUGAUGCCCUUAGAUGUCCUGGGCCGCACGCGCGCUACACUGAAGGAACCAGCGUGUCUUCCCUGGCCGAGAGGCCCGGGUAACCCGCUGAACCUCCUUCGUGCUAGGGAUUGGGGCUUGCAAUUAUUCCCCAUGAACGAGGAAUUCCCAGUAAGCGCGAGUCAUAAGCUCGCGUUGAUUACGUCCCUGCCCUUUGUACACACCGCCCGUCGCUACUACCGAUUGAAUGAUUUAGUGAGGUCUUCGGAUUGGUACGCGGUGGCGAUUUCGAUGUCGCCGAUGUUUUGCCGAAAAGAUGCCCAAACUUGAUCAUUUAGAGGAAGUAAAAGUCGUAACAAGGUUU